UGUAAUUCUUAUAGGUAAAUUGAGCUAUUGUGAGUUGAGACUGUCUGUCCUAUACAUUGCAUUAUUCCCUGUACCUAUCAAAUCCAUGUCCUAGUCACAUGCAAGAUAUAUCCAACCCAUCCCAAUAGCCCCAAGCAUUUUAACUCAUUCUAGCAUGAAAUCCAGUCUGAACAGCCAUCGACUCAGAGGAAACCCAGGCAAGGAGGGUGGGCCCCAACCAAGUCCAAAACUUGCAAACUGAGCCCAACAGGACCCAGAGGUUCAAGAAUGAUGUGGCAGGGCUCCAAGAUAAUCCUAUCUGCAGUCUGUGUCUCUUGAGACGAUCAACCGAGUCUGUAGCUGACACCCACACUAACGUCUUUUUCAGCAAUCAGUAGGAACCACGCUUCUCCAUCAACACUUCAUUAGGAGACCGCCUCCUCCUUCAAGUUCCUCUUUCACAAAGCACUAGAAUCUGAAGACAAUUCGGCCAAGUUCUUUGCCACUUUCUAAUAAGGAUCUGCCUUCCUCCGUGCCCUGAGAGCAUUUCCCUCUGAGUUCAUCAGGCUGGUCUCUGCCAGCAGGCACCAGCAGGCACCGCCAGCACCCUCCAUGGUACUUAGAUAUUUUCUAAGAAGCUGUCUCUACAGAACCCCCUUUUUCUUCCUGAGCUCUUAUCAUAAUCACCUGUGCAAUUCUACUCAUGGAAACUUGACUUUUUUUUUUUUUAGUAGAUGCAUCAGAAUUCUUCCAGUCUUUACCAGUCACGCAGUUCUGAAGCCAACACACAUUUUAGGUGUUUAUUACGACUAUACCCCCACUUCUAGUAUCAAUGUCUGCCCUUUUUUGGUCUCACAUGACAAAGUACCAUAGACUAGGUGGCUUACAGACAACAGAGAUGCAACCAUCAGAUUUCUAGGAGCUAAAAGUCCAAGAUCAAGGUGCUCCCAACGUUCUCACCUUUUUUUCUCAUUACUUUGGGGGUUAAGGGGUCAACAGGUGAAUUUAGGGGGAACAAAACACCCCAUCCAUUACAGAGAUGGGGCUUUGCUUAACAUGGAGGAAAUAACGAAAUUCCUCUGCAAAAAUGAUCUUUCGCUUUCUGAGAGAAAAGUCAGGAGAGGCCUAAGCAUCAGCUCAAGGCAGCAUCGACGGCUGGGGCAAGGACCUUUGG